GCCUUCCUUGUCUAGGGGAGCAUAGUGUUCAAUGAUCGUCUAGUGAGGGCACUGAUGCUGACACCCCGUUUUUAUUAUACCCGCGCCCGCUGCGUAGAAUACGCUUAGCGAGUGCAAUUUUUGGAAGA